UCUCUCUAACACUUUUGUCAGAGGAUAUUCACACACAUUUUCACCUUGCUCUUUGAUGUGUGAUCCAUCAUGAUAUAUUGUUUGUUUCUUGUUUUUUUGCUUGUAAUGUGUUUUCUGCUUUAGUGGUACUUGUUAUGUCUAAUUUAGUGCUCGUGGACACUCCUUCACAUCAAUUUAAAAAUUUACUACCCGUUUUUGACUGCUGAUUCUUGAUAGCUCUUAGCUUAGUUUGGCCAUCAACAGCUUAAAUCCUUACCUUUCCUGUUCUUUGCAACUUUUUGCUUUUCUAGUAAACCUUUCUUUCCAUGUUUGCUUUCCAAAGUGAUUUAGAUAUUAUCUCCUUCAACCUGUUUAUUGAAGUGUACUUUUUAUUUUAUUUUCUUGAUUUCUUGAAAUAUGAACUAUUUCUAUUUUUGUCUUACUAAUUCUCAAGACAUUAAACUGCUUGUGGGACUUGUGUAGCUGCUGUUUCCGUGCUAUGUCUACUACAUGGUUUGUUUUUUUCUACUUGUUUUGUUUUAUGGACUAUGUCCUUUAUAUCUAACAUUAAUCAUCUCAAGUAUCACUUAGCUUUUUGUAUUUUUCUUGUCUG
rnacentral:misc_RNA from 1 species